rnacentral:rRNA from 1 species
GAUGAACGCUAGCGGCGGGCUUAACACAUGCAAGUCGAGGGGCAGCGCGGGAUAGCAAUAUCCUGGCGGCGACCGGCGGAAGGGUGCGUAACGCGUGAGCGACAUGCCCGUUGCCUGGGGACAACCGGUGGAAACGCCGACUAAUCCCCGAUGGGAUAUUGUGCCGCAUGGCACGAUAUUGAAAGUUACGGCGGCGACGGAUUGGCUCGCGUCCGAUUAGCUGGUUGGCGGGGUAACGGCCCACCAAGGCUGCGAUCGGUAGGGGUUCUGAGAGGAAGGCCCCCCACAAUGGGACUGAGACACGGCCCAUACUCCUACGGGAGGCAGCAGUGAGGAAUAUUGGUCAAUGGGCGGAAGCCUGAACCAGCCAUGCCGCGUGCGGGAAGGAGGCCCUAUGGGCUGUGAACCGCUUUUGCCUGGGGGAAAUAAGGGCGUCGCGCACGUCCGAUGAGAGUACCAGGCGAAUAAGCAUCGGCUAACUCCGUG